AGUGAACGCUGGCGGUAGGCCUAACACAUGCAAGUCGAACGGCAGCACAGUAAGAGCUUGCUCUUACGGGUGGUGAGUGGCGGACGGGUGAGGAAUACAUCGGAAUCUACUUUUUCGUGGGGGAUAACGUAGGGAAACUUACGCUAAUACCGCAUACGACCUACGGGUGAAAGCAGGGGAUCUUCGGACCUUGCGCGAUUGAAUGAGCCGAUGUCGGAUUAGCUAGUUGGCGGGGUAAAGGCCCACCAAGGCGACGAUCCGUAGCUGGUCUGAGAGGAUGAUCAGCCACACUGGAACUGGGACACGGUCCAGACUCCUACGGGAGGCAGCAGUGGGGAAUAUUGGACAAUGGGCGCAAGCCUGAUCCAGCCAUACCGCGUGGGUGAAGAAGGCCUUCGGGUUGUAAAGCCCUUUUGUUGGGAAAGAAAAGCAGCAGGUUAAUACCCCGCUGUUCUGACGGUACCCAAAGAAUAAGCACCGGCUAACUUCGUG
rnacentral:rRNA from 1 species